rnacentral:lncRNA from 1 species
CGCAGGACUUAAAAACACUGAACGCCGUGCCAAGAGGUAAACUUGGUAGUUUUCAUUUUCCCUUCAUAUUAUUUAUUUUCCUUAAAUAGCUUGUUUAGUUAAUCGGGUUCAUACUAUCUUGAAAAGAAAAUAAAAAUGCUAAAAAUAGUAAGCCCCAUGUGAAUAUACGAGUGGCAUAAAACCCAUAAGUACGUUCAUUGUGGUGGCAUAAAAAUAAAAUAAGUAUUUUUCUGCUCUAUAAAAAUGAAAUUAUAAAAAUAAGAUUGUGAUCGUACUAAAGAGAGUAAUAUUUAUUGAGGAGGCUCAACAUGAUAAAGGCAAGAUAUUUAUGCUAACACUUAACCAGUUCCACAAAGCUUUGUUGUCUAUUGGAGCUCCACAUAAUUCAAGGAUCAAAGAAGACUAGCAGACGGAGGACAUCCUAAUCGCUGUCAGGGUGCUGCCGACAUUCAAAUACACCUCCGCCACCUGCUAGCUACAUCAGAAGAAAUUACGUUAAAAUCCAGCUUGGGGGAGAGCACCCCCAUUUAUCCAGCUAAGUGUUUCUACUCGCGUUUAUACUCUACUCAAAUAAUAAAAGAUGCAUAAUCAUAAAAACCCAAAUAAAGAUUUUUGUGCUUACAUAUAUAUAUAUCUUUGCUUAGUUUGCUAAAUAAAUAAAUAAAUGAAGUUUGCUAUGAACCCGCAUGAUAAGCCCCCACCUAAAAAUAAUGAAUAGUUGCUUUGCCAUGACUAGUUCUCAAAACUAAAAUCUCUCUCAAGUUUAGGCAUAACUGUUAUAAUUUAAACCUGCUCUAGACCUGAACUUGUGGGAAGAGUACUUGAUCUGAAGUCUAAAUCGUUAACGGAUAUGAUAUGGGAAAGUUGAGCUGCUGUUUAUCUGUUCCUAGAGACACUAGAUUUCUGGAGAAUUUUAUCUUUAAAAUAACACAUGAUGAGUUCCUGUAUGAUGAGAGUUUAAAUUCCUACCAUAGCCAUAUAUACAUGCUUAUUAGACUAUGAACCAUACAUUUACUUUUUACUGCUUAUGAUCAUUGAGUGUGGUCAAGCUGUGUAGACCCUUAGGAGCUUGUCAUGCGGUUAAAAUCAAGAUUCACUUGCACGUUCACUCAUACAUGCUGCUUCUACUCCGGAAGUACACAUCGACAUACAUCCACUCAUUUCCAUCUCCAGAUUUACCCAAAAUUAUUCUACUCCUAUCCAUGAGAGAAUAGCCAAAAACAUUAUCCUAUCCUUGCUAUUCCCCAUGAAAUAAAUGCUCGAGAUAUUUUGGUUACUACCACUUGCUACAAUAUUCUAGGAGGGUGAGUGCUCUGAAAAAAAAAGAAGAAAAGGAAAAAUACGAGGAAAUAAAAAGGGGCAAGUGCCUGGAACCUCGAAGAAAAGAAAAAGUGAGAUGAGAGGUAAAAAUGGACAAAUGUCCGACAGUAUAAUUAGGGGUACAAGAUACCCACCUGAGAGAAAAGAAAAAAAUAAAUAAAGAAAUAUAGAACAUCGCAUUCUCCUCAAAAAAGUUUCAAAGUGCAAGAAAGGUAUGUAUCCCCUAAAAAGAGCAAAAGUAGAAUUAGACCUUCACCAUUGUUAUCACCAUUAUCAAUAUACACCAUUCACUCGCCACACAUGCACAUCUUGAUUUGACUUAUUGACUUGUUCUUCUUGAUCCAUGGUUUGACUAUGCAAUAAAUGUCUUGUAAGUAUGUAUUAUCUAUCUCCCACCUAUGAGCUCCAGAUAUCAAAACCUUAUUAGAGUAGGGUGAGAGAGAAGGCAAUAUCACUAUGCCUCAUACCACAAAUACUACAUACUUUGAGAGAAGCCAUAUGUCAUCACUGCCUUGGUGACGAUCCAGAAAUACCACAAAAGAGAGAUUUGAGAGAGUCAUACAAGGAAUCUCUGAGUUUUAUUUGAAAAUCUGCAAAAACUCCAGAACUAUAGUUAAUCAAAGAACAAGUGACAUGGCGCUUGACUAGACUGUUGUAUCUUUUAACUACUCAAGACAAAAGUGACGGUUGCAAGCCCCAUGGUGAAAGGUAAAAUGAGUAAGUUUUAAGUCUUAACAGUUUACUCUAACUCAGAGAUGAGAUCUUGCUUGAAUGCAUGUGUAUUUUUAAGGCAUGAAAGCACUGCAGAAACUUUUGAGUCAAUCCUUGCUCAGGGACGAGCAAGAGGUAAGCUUGGGAGAGUUUAUUGACGGUCCUUAAGUACCAAAUACAAUUAUGAAAUAAAUAAAGAAAAGGAUCCAAAUGCAACCAACACCCAGACUUAGGGUUUUAUCUGACAGAAUUCCACGAGUUUUGGUGUUUGUCUAUUUCUACAGGUGGUAUCAGGAAAUAUGGAGGAAAGGCCCACACGUCGGGAUUACAUAGAGAUAUUAAUGUGCCGCGCAAUUUUCUAUCAUCAAGAAGAGUCCAGAAGCCACGGGAACGAACGCGAGGCCGAACAGGCCCGGGGGCAGGGCGCCCGCCCUCCCCCCUUGGGCGCCUGCCCUGGUACAAGCACCAAUCACAGAAUGGAGUACACCAUUACAAAGAUCUCGUCGAGCUGAUCGAAAUGCAUAUAUUAUUUGCUAUAUUUGGAGUUCGGAAUCAACAGAUAUUAAUAAAAGGACUUCACAUUAAGGCCUGAGAUAUGGUGGAAUGUUUAGUACCACGUCGCCUGCCGAACCAAAAAGGCACAAAUGGAGGAGGCUAUAUAAGCAAGGCCCCUGGCCCCUGGAGGAGAACAAGUUCAUCAUAGAAUUGAGAGGUGCCCUCGAAGGAUAAUCUCUCCUCUAAAUAGACUUAGGGCUUAGCAUCUAAUGUGAGUAGAUUAGAUCUACUAGAUUUAGAGAGAUAGAGUGGAGGUGUAGAUCGAAGGAAGCCCAGCCUGUCGGUGUCUACUCCGAGGUUGUAACUACGGGAUCAAGUUCUCCUAACCAGAGGCUUGCUCAUAGGAUUCUUCAGUAAUUCGACUUCUAAAUGCUAGUAAAUUCUUGUCUUAUUGUUCUUUGGUUUAUGACUUUACUUUAAUCUCUUCCGAUUGAGUUUAGAGUAAUCAUUGCUAGCGUAAAUGUGGUGUUUGGGCUAGGGUACUCAUAGAUAUGCCCUGACUAGCUGGACCAUGGUAGUAGCGAGGAAUGUGACAUUUUCGAGUUACCUUUGCAGCCCACAUCUCGUUAGCAGGACGGGUAGGGUUUAUAGGUGCUGGUCGAACAUCCUCUGUGGUGUCUAGAUUCCGUGAGCUUCCCCAAUAGAACAGUAGAUCAUCCUUACCAAGGUUAGAAUGAGACUACGGUUGUAGUCUUCUCUAUACAUCGCUCACAUCGAGAAACAUUCUUUGUAGCCUAAAGGGUAGUAGCAAUAGAUUUGGUUAGUCAGAUGCACGCUUUCUUCGAGUGGUAAAAAUAUAAAUACGAUACUCUGGAUAACCUCCCGGGUGAAGUGCUUCCCGAUAUCCAUGCGCUUGCGGAUCCUUUCCUGAUGGCGUUACCAAAUAUCAACAGCCAUUCACACACCCCCACAACUAGCUUGGACAUAGAACCCUAAGUUGGAUCUACUUGUAUUCACUCCUGUACAAGCACUUAGGUGCAAGAUAAUACGCACUCCCCCUCCCCACUGGACGUAGGGCCUUCUUUGCCUGAACCAGGAUAAACUCUUGUGUCACUCUUGCAUAACCAUCUGGAAAAGAGAGCACGCAUACAAAUUCACUCGUUGGUGUUACCCCUCGAGGUCAAUACACCGACAGUUGGUGCGCCAAAUAGGGGUCCUGCGUGUUACUAUCAAUUUCCCAUCUUUUUCCGGCUUUGGCUACGACAUGAUCCUGCACUCAGUCAGAGGACUGGUAGGGGCUCGCAUUAUGCCCGCACGAUCGAAGGCCCCACGGUAGCCUCAUCACCACGCUUCCCCGCCUAAGAGGAGGCGCGAUCAGCAUCGCCACCACCCCACCGCUGCUGCACGAUCGUCGCCUCAUGCUAGACAGGAAGACCUUCCGGUGGAGGAGCCGACAGCUCCGCGCGCCAAGACAGCCAUUACGACGGCUAACCGGUGGAGCAGCCACUUGAUGGCGCCAAGAAACAGCGUACCCCGCGCACCAUCGCCGCCAUGCGCCCUGCUGCCACAUGGCCUAUUCGCCACUAGGCGAAUGCUCCUAUUCGGCAUGGACAAUGCCACAACAUCACUCACCAGGGUAAUAUGUCCGGGUGACAGCAUGUGUGUGGAGCGGGCACUGGCCCUCCCACGCAACACACAGACGCAGCAAGAAACUCAGCAUGUGGCUGAAUGUCCAGGUUUUCCCUAGAUAUGUAGGCAUCGAUGCCUGGGACCUGGGCACUACACCCUCCCCAUGCUCAGGCAGCAGUUGGCAGAGGAAUGGCGUGAAUGUUUAUACACCGUCGAGCGAGAUCCUGACUCUGAGUCCGACAACUACGACCCCACGAGAGAGUGCUUCAACAUCGACGGAGCCGUGGUAACCAUGGACGACACGGAGGAUGCCACUGUCGCUGCUCGAGCUCCAGCAGCAGGAGGAAAACCUAGGACACCACAGGUAGACCCGCCCCCUAGGACGAUAGGGCAGUGCAACUUGCGCAACUGCGCGAGCUGAAGGCCAAGCUCGACGAGGACCGAGAUUGCCUCGAUCAACUAGAGCGGACCCUCGAGCAAGACCAACCGCACCCGCAUGGCUGGGGCGAGUUUGGACGUGCUCGAGAUGUGUACCAACAAAUCGUUGAGGAUGGAGAGCCCGAGCAACUCAUCAGUCGCUUCCCUCGAGCCAGUCAAAAUAUCGUGGUAGCAACCAUGCUGCUAUACAACAUGCCCGAGCCAUCAAACUCCUAGGCGCGACGCAUAUGGGACGAGGUGCAAGGCUUGCUCCACGUGGCAGUAGCACAGCAGGCCGAGAGCUCAGCUUCUCGAUGACAAGGGGUGGCCAUAGAAAAGCACCCUGGGCUAGCUCAAAACGAUAGGGAAGUAUUAGUUCACCAGGAGAUACCACCUCGAGGCAGGAAAACGAUGCCAAUCCAGGAGCGUGUCGUCACUAAUCGAGGACCUCACAACGCUCGACACGACAUAAACGAAUAUCGACGACACAAACACGGGGAUGCUGAGGAGCGGGGCUACAGCGCCCACCGCGGUGGACGCUAUGACAGUGACGAGGACUGGAUGGCUCCAGAGCGUCCAGGCCCCCCAGUCUUCAGCAGAGCGAUUUGCGGUACACCACUGCCAAGCCCGUUCCGACCCUCGACUAGCAUUGCCAAGUACAAUGGCAAAACCAAGCCAAAACUUUGGUUGGCAGAUUUCUGGCUAGCAUGCCAGCUAGGAGGUGCUUGAGGGGACGAUCGAGCCAUCAUCCGGCAGCUCCCACUUUUCCUCUCCAACACCGCAUGUAGGUGUCUCGAGGAACUCCCAGCCAACCAAAUCCAUGACUGGACCGAUCUAGUCCUGGUGUUCAAGGGAAACUUCAAGGGGACCUACAUCCGCCCCGGUAAUUCAUGGGACCUCAGCAAGUGCAAGCAAAAAUCUGGAGAAUCCCUCUGAGAGUAUGAUCGACGCUUCUCCAAGCAACGCACGGAGCUCCCGCACAUCCCCGACCAUGAUGUCAUCCUGGCAUUCCUCUUAGGCACCACAUGUAAAGACUUGGUAUGAGAAUUGGGGCAAAAUCGUCUGCAAAGCGUCGACGAGCUGAUGGACGUAGUGGCGAACUACGCCGCCGGCGAGGAGACGGUCGGUGCUUUCUUUAGCCACAAGAACGACAAGGGGAAGGAGCCAGCCGACGAUGAUGAGGGCCCCAGCAGGGGACCUGAAAAGAACAACAAGAAAAAGUAGAAAGCACGACAGAACAAGCAUGAGGCUCUCAACAAUGAUUUCGUCGCUGUGGUCGAGCGCAAGAAGCCUCGAGCCCCCCCGGAGGGGGUGGUCUUCGACAAGAUGCUCAAGGAGCCCUACCCUUACCACAAUGGAGGGGCCAACCACAAGCUCGAGGAUUGCCGCAUGCGGAAUAAAUACUUUGAUAGGCUAGGGCUAAAGAAGGACGACCAGAGGAAGGACAAGGGCGACGACAAAGGCGGAACCAAGGACGACGAAGGGUUCCCCACCGUCCACGAUUCCUAUAUGAUAUAUGGCAGACCCUCGACGCAGCUCACCCCACGAUAGCGUAAGAGGGAAUUGCAGGAAGUUUUCACAGCAAGGAUGGCGGUGCCACAGUACCUCAACUGGUCGAGCAUGUAACGUCCCGCCUCCACGAGGCUAGGCCCACUUACAUGUGGUAGCUUUUCUAGGAUAUAGUCAGUCGCAACUUGUUGGUAUGAGUCUCCUAUUAAUCAUAUUAAGCCCUAGGCCAGGUGUUACAUCCUCACCCCCUUAAGAGAUCGAUGUCCUCGUCGAUCAACCCCAAGCGAGGAACGUCCCCUCUUGACCACGUCCGUGCAUCCAGUUCCAGCGCAUAUGCCAUGCUGUGUGACCACUCCGGAUCCACACCAGCCAUGCACACCAUGCUUGCACAAUUGCAAUACACGCGCUCGUGAAACCGUGAGGGUUGGCUCUGGUACCAUUCUGUAACGUCCCACCUCCACGAGGCCAGACCCACUUACAUGUGGCAGCUUUUCUAGGAUAUAGUCAGUUCCCACAGACCAACAUUAGUCUUUUCUACACACUUUGUCCUCACUCGUGCGCAACCGAGAAGUACUUCCAAGUCGGUCACCCAUCUCUAAAUUGCUCUAGGCUAAGCACGCUUAACUUUAGAGUUCUUUAGAGAUGGGCUCUCGGAAAAGAAGUUGCAACUAGUUGGUAUGAGUCUCCUAUUAAUUCUAUUAAGCCAUAGGUCGGGUGUUACAAAGCACCCCCAUCACCUUCGAUCGCGACGAUCACCCUGAUAAGUUCAUUGCCCCUGGCGUCUACCCGCUCGUCGUCGACCCCAUCAUCGUCAACACCCGACUCUCAAAGGUACUGAUGGAUGGUGGCAGUAGCCUCAACAACAUCUACCUUGAGACUCUCGACCUCCUAGGCAUUGAGAGAGCAUAGCUCCAGCCUAGCGUGGGCGGCUUCCAUGGUGUCGUGCCCGAGAAGAAAGCAUUACCGGUAGGUCAAAUCGACCUACCGGUCUGUUUUGGCAUGGUAUCCAACUUCACAAAUGAGACCCUCACUUUCGAAGCGGUAGGUUUUCGAGGUACCUAUCACGCCAUCAUCGGCCCCCGGGAUACGCCAAGUUCAUGGCAAUCCCCAACUACACCUACCUCAAGCUGAAGAUGCUCGGGCCCAAGGGGGUUAUCACCAUCAGCUCCUCCUACAAGUAUGCUUACAAAAGCGACAUCGAGUGCGUCGAGUAUGAGGAGGUGGUAGAGAACACCACCGAGCUUGCCUCGAGGCUCGAGGCCCUCGCUGCUGAGGCUCUAGAGCCAAAGCGCUAUGCGGGCAGCUUCGAGCUGACGGAGGGCAUGAAGAAAGUCCCGCUCAACCCCGACAACUCUGAUGGCAAGUCAUUGACGAUCAGCGCCAACCUCAACCCCAAAUAGGAGGCCGUGCUCGCACAAACGCCAACAUGUUUGCAUGCAGUCCCUUGGAUAUGCCAGGCAUACCGAGGGUCGUCGCCGAGCACUCCUUAGAGAUCCGAGCCGGUUCGAAACUAGUGAAUCAACGCCUGCGCUGCUUCGACGAGGAGAAGCGCAAGAUCAUUAGGGAGGAAGUCCACAAGCUUUUGAUGGACGGGUUCAUCAAGGAGGUUCAUCAUCCCGAAUGGUUAGCCAAUCCUGUAUUAGUUAAGAAAAAGAAUGGAAAAAUGAGGAUGUGUGUAGAUUACACUAGUUUAAAUAAAGCAUGUUUGAAAGUUCCAUUUCCUUUGCCACAUAUUGAUCAAAUUGUCGAUUCUACCAUGGGAUGUGAAACCCUUUUGUUCCUUCAUGCUUAUUCCGGCUACCGUCAAAUAAAAAUGAAAGAGUCCGUCUAGCUUGCGACCUCUUUCAUCACCCCUUUUAGAAUGUACUAUUAUGUGACCUUGCCCUUCGGGCUUCGAAAUGCCGAGGCGACAUACUAGCGGUGCAUGCUCCAUGUUUUUGGGGAGCACAUAGGGUCGACGGUCGAGGCAAUACCAUAACUAUAAAUCCAUCAUUAGCAAUGGCCCAGAAAUGUCGGGUGUUGGUAUACCAUAACUAUCGUUACGUCAGAGAGAUAACCCAAGGCCUUUAACUGCGUGGCCUUAGCAGUGCAGUCUGGUAACAAUAAUUAGGAAUGUCGGAUUGGCCAUCCUAACCAUCCUUACUUACGAUAUGCAAAGCUAUAGCACGGCGCCAGAUAAAUGCACAACGUUUACAAUCUUAAGUAAUGGUACUUAGGUAUGCCAAUCAAUAGUUCAUGAAUAUAAAGAAUAACACUGCAAGCGAACAAAACUAUCAUUGUAGCAUUUCAACCCGUGAGUAUUCAAGGGUUAUCAUAUUUAAUCCCGUAGGAGGGCGUAACAAAUGCAUCUUGCUUGGUUUCUAGCAUGAUCACUUAUUGAGAUGCAUAGGUAGACAUAGUCUAAUCAGGGGUCACUGUAGGCUCUUAAAAUAUGGAUAGUGGACACACUCAUCGGGGCAACCUCAAGGAAUAAAGAGAAAAUAUGGAAAUAAAAGAAAUAAAGAACAACUACUUGAGCCGGCAAUGAUCUUAUAUACCUAUACAAAGAAUUGUUAGUAGAAUAUAUAAUUAAUAUAACUAGAGUUAGAACUAAGUCUAAGGCUCUGGCGGGAUCCCCAUAGCUGGACAUCUAGCCGAUAGGGACUUUACAGAACUCCUACCGGAAUACCUGAUCGUGGGGGAAUACCAGGGAUGACAGGGCUAUCACUACCCUGCCACCUACCCGUCUACCCGAAAGAUAUCUGUUGACGGUCCUUAAGUACUAAAUUUAACCAUCAAAUAAACAAAGAAAAGGAUCCAAAUGAAACAAACAUCUAGAAUUAGGGUUUUAUCUGACAGAAUUCCACGAGCUUUGGUGUUUGUCUGUUUCUGCAGGGGGUCAUCAGAAAAUAUGGAGAGAAGGCCCACAUGUCAGGUUUACAACGAGAUAAUUAUGUGUCACGCAAUUUUCCUUAAUCUAGAAGAGUCCAUAAGCCACGUGAACAAACGGGAGACCGGACAGGCCCGGGGGCAGGGUGCCCGCCCUCCCGCCUUGGGCGCCCGCCCUGGCCUCGGGGCCAAUCACAGCCAACCUCGCGGAUUAUGCUCCACCGACCUAAAGGAUCAAGGAAAACCGUGCGAUCAAUGUCGGUUUGAUCUGACAGCCCAAAUUCACUUGAAAGGACUAUAAAAGCAGGGCCUCUCCACCCCAGGAGGAGGAGGAGAAAUCAUUAUCAGAGAUAGCCAUCAAAGUUAGGGUUUAGAACAUCUCUCCCACAGAGACUUAGAAUUAGCUACUCCCCAAUCCUUCAAGUUUAGAGGAUUGAUUAGAUAGAAUUAGGGAAGUAGAGCCUAGCACACUGGAUUCGGAUCUUCGUUAAUUAAGAUUGGUAUUAUUUCUUAUCUUUCUCUACUACUUUAUUCUAAUUGCAUUAUGUCUCUAUUUAUUAUGCUCUUAGUUUGCUCUAGUUCUAUAUUUGAUAUAGUUUUGAUUGAUAAUGAGUUUAUGUAUAAGUUUGCAAAGCGCUUAGCUCUUGACGCGCGGGAGUUAAGUGGUAGAUCACAUGUGGGCGCGAUGCUUGGGUGUUAUUUACCUGCAAAUGUAUCCUAUUGGCCAGGUUGUGUGGUUGUUCGCGAUAGUGACAGCUUUGUUGAUUCUUAUAUAGUCCACCCUCCGUUGAUAGGAUAGGCAGAAUUUGUAUUGCGGAGUAAGUCUUACGAUGCUCUGAUUUACUUUAGCAAUGUUCCUUAUACAUGAAUGAAGAGUCUUUUAUGCUAUACAUGAUCUUGUAGAUAACUAGAGUAGAUUAUGACUUAGUAGAUAGUAGAUAACUUAGAAUCCAUUCUCUAGCUAAUCUGACGUCACCUUACAUAUAUGAGGAGUAGUCUAUUUUCUAAUCGCUGUGUUCUUUACCCAUGAGCUUAUAUUUCAUUAUCAUUAUUAUUAUGGCUUACCCCCUGCCAAAGUAAGUGACUGUGUGAUGAGUUCCUCAUUAGUAAUCAUGUUCUUGCAAGUUUAUCUCUAGUCUAUGCCUUGAUAGAUUUAUCCUUAUCUUCAUUUCAUCCUUUUUUCCUGAGCAAAAUUAUAAAUAACGAUACCUGGAAUACUUACAUGGUGAAAUGCUACAAUGAGGUGUUUUAUUUGUGCGCUUGCGGAUAGAAUAGAUUAUUUUUUAGAGAGCCUCUAUAUUUAUAAAUACCUUUGUACACUCUGGCACCAUGCUAGGGAUGACAACUUAGUAUCUAAGUGGUGUUAGCAAGUGUCAACAAUACCCAAGCCUCCGCUGAUCUCCGCAUACCCGAGCACCUCGCCUGUGCAAUUGGAAACGCCUCCUAGCCUCCCGGGACCCCAACUCUUCGGAUUGACAGGCUCGGCUAAGAGUGGCCAUCACAGCCCAACAAAACAUUACCCAAUCUUAAUCCUUUGUCUAUUCAUACUAAUUUGAUGAACAAUGAAGAACAAGGAUGAACACAUCAAGAACAUAGCACAAGAACUAAGAACUAGUUCAAAUACUAUGAACAAGAUAUGAACACAACUAUACUCUAAUUCAAUUGCAUAAUCAUAUAAAUAAGAUAAGAACUUGCUCAUGGAGGAGAACUGAAUUGUAUUCAUACCAAGAAGCUCUAAGAUCCUCCAAGGAGACAAACUCUCCUUGCUAGCUUUGCCUUGCUCUACUACUGAAUCUAAACUAAAGAACAAGUGUAGAAAUGUGAUGUGUAUUGCUCCAAAUGAUGGUGUGUGUGUGUGUGUUGAAUGGUGUGGAGCCAUCUAUUUAUAGCCCAACAAGGACGGUUCAUGGCAAUCUAAAUUUGGUAGGAGGUGAAAUCGUCCUAUGCAUGCCGCCAUGCAACCGCCUGAAAAAGGUGGGACCGAGUUGCUGCCACGAGGAAUGCGCCAGCACCACUGGUGGGCCUCCCUGGCCACCGGCUUCGCGUGGUCGGUUCGUCUCUGGGCCUUGAUCCUUCCCGUGGUUACUUAUGGAUCCAGUUCGGUGUUUUGGUGGGCUUUUCCAUUUAUCUUUGAUUUGUGCCUUUUUUGAAGACGCUUUCUUGAAGUGCUCUUUCUCGUGUCUUUUGCGCCUUUCCACAUGUCAUACCUGAAAUUGAUAUUUGCAACAAAACUUGUGGAAAGGUUAGUUCAAAGACCUACCAUCUAUUUAUUUUAUUUAUUAAAAUGAUGUUUAUAAUUAUAAGAUUAGGGGUACCAACAACUCCCCCACACUUGGUCCUUUGCUCGUCCUCGAGUGAAUGCACUAAAGACCAAAUGGGUUCAUCUUCCUUGUCAAAAGAAUCUGCAUACAGGUUCUUCCCAGCUUCAUCUGGAUUUAUGAACUUCAAAGUGUCUACCAAGAUAUCUUGGAUAAUUGAAACAUGGAACAGCCUGGAUUCAAAUCCUCUUACAUAGUCCCUGUGCAGAAACUUGGGGUUUGGAAGAUUUUGAAAAAUAAAGAUAGCAUAUGUUUCUUGAAUGAUGCUCUCAAGUCCCUCCUAAUAUUUGAGUGGUUCCUUACCAAGGCAUAAAGAGUUGAUUCCUUCUUUUUGAUCAUCCUACUUCUAAAAGGCUUAUCUAGAUUUAUGGGUAGGUAUGAUAAUGGAACUUACCCACCCUACAUAUGUAGUCGAGUCAAACCCAGGACCAUACCGGAGGGAGUGCGCCAUACCCUUAGAUGAGAAUGUGCAAGUGUGUGGAAUUUUUGGUGGAAUCCUAUCACUACUUUUAUUGUAACAUUCCUUGCAUCAAGACUCUCUUUUGAAAUGAGAUGAAAACUGGAGAGGAUAUGGGCUAUAACACAGUUUUUUUAUAUAUAUAGCCCAUUCCUAUGAUUCUGAUGAAAACGAAAGAGAGCUUUAUGAUAACAAAUGCAAGGAAUGUAUAUGAAUGCACAAUUCUCAGGGUGAGAUAUUGACAUAUUUAUUUGGUUAAUAUAUGUGCACAACCCUCAGUGUAAGAGUUGGCGAAAUUUUGGGUGGAUGGAGAAAGCAUGUUGUGCGCGACUACUCAGUGUGAGAGUUGGCUUUUAUAUGGUGGGUGCAAGUGAAUUCUGAUCUUAGAGGCAUGAAACAUCUCUCGACAGCGGUCAAAAAAUUUGACCAAACUCAACAUAGAGCAAGCAGCAUAUGUAGAAGGUCUAAUCAUGAACAAAUUUUUGGCCAUGGUAGGAAUAAAUCUUGAACAUUCAAAAAACUUGCUAUUGAAUUUUGCUUUUUAUAAAAGAAAACCCAUGUACUUUACAAGAACCAUUGUUGACACUUGCUAACACCACUUGAAUACUAGGUUGUCAUCCCCAGCAUGGCACUAGAGUGUACUAUGGUAUUUAUACGCACACAGAUAAUCCGCAAGCGCACGGAUACCGUUAUAGCUUUUACCCGGUUAAAGGUUUUAUCGUAUCCACAGGGAAAUGGGAGAACUGAUCUAUGCUCUAACUUAACCAAGAUAAGUAAGUAAGUGUAAAUAGGAAAGAUGGUAGAAUCGAAUAAGAACAAUAUUAAAGGUAAGAUAACAGUGAGUGAUAAUAUGGGAAUAGAGAAUAGAGCAAUUCUAGUAUAUGGGCGAUGGUAGCAGAAUAGAGCGUAUAACUAUGGUUUCUCUACUUCAAAGGGGUAUGUCUAUGUCUAGAACGAACCACGUGAUAAGAGUACACCACAAAGGAUGCUUAUCCUUAGGCCAAUAAACCCUACCCAUCCUGCUAACGAGAGGACCAACGUAACUGUCACCUAUGCGGCCUACCACACGAUCCAGCUAGACAGGGGAUAUCCACAAGUUAUCUAGGUCUAAGCACCACGCUUACACCUAUACUACGACUCUCACCUAUAGCGUCCUAUAGAUUAAAGUACUCAAAAGAGUUGUGAACCAGAACAUACAUAAUUAGUAUUUGCAUAAUGAAUUAGAAGUAGAUUACCAGAGUCAUCCCAUGAGCAAGCUUGAUUAGAGCUUGAUCAUGACGAAGUACAACCGGAGGAAGAACCGACAGGCCAGCCUCUCCUCUAAUCCUCCUUCGCUCUCCAUCUUGCUACUAUCUAGAUCUACUGUAGUUUAGAGAAGAGAGGAGAGCUCUCAUAUCUAAACCCUGGCCUUUGCUCUGUCUAUGAAUAAUGAAUAAUGAUCAAGGGGUGCCUCCUCCAGGGGCCAGGGGGUCUGGUUAUAUAGUCCCCUCAAGUGAACCUAGGCCGUCGGAUCAAACCGACAUUGAUUGAACGGUUAUCCUUGAUCCUUUAGGUCGGUGGAGCUUGGUCCGCAAAGCUGGACGUGUUUGACUACAACUCCUGGGCGGGCGCCCAAGGGGGGUGGGCGGGCGCCCUACCCCCAGGCCCGUUCGCCUUCCGGUUCGUUCCCGUGGCUUCUGGAGUCUUCUAGAUGACGUAAAAUUGCGGGGCACGUUAAUAUCUCUAUGUAAUCCCGACGUGUGGGCCAUUCUUCCAUAUUUCCUGAUAACCCCCUGCAGAAAUAGACAAACACCAAAACUCGUGGAAUUCUGUUAGAUAAAACCCUAAGUCUAGAUGUUGAUUUCAUUUGGAUCCUUUUCUUUGUUUAUUUGAUAAUUAAAUUUGAUACUUAAGGACCGUCAACAAACUCCCCCAAGCUUACCUCUUGCUAUUCCCUGAGCAAGGAUAGACUCAGCAAUGGAUCAGAAGUUGUUGCAAUAUCUUAAAAAUUUGACGGUACACAUGCUUUUAAAUAAGAUCUCAUCUCUGAGUUAGAGUAAACUGUCAAGAACUAAAACUUACUUACCUUUCACCAUGGGACUUGUAACCGUCACUUCUGUCUUGAUUAGUUAAAAGAUAGAACAGUCUAGCCAAGUGCCAUGUCUCUUAUUCUUGAUCAGCUAUAGCUCUGGAGUUUUUGCAGAUUUUCAAAUAAAACUCAGAGAUUCCUUGUAUGACUCUCUAAAUCUCUCUUUUGUGGUAUUUCUGGAUCCUUACCAAGGCAGUGAUGGUAUAUGCCUUCUCUCAAGAUAUGUGGUAUUUGUAGUAUAAGGCAUAGUGACAUUGCCUUCUCUCUCACCCUACUCUAAUAAGGCUUUAAUAUCUGGAGCUCAUAGGUGGGAGACAGCUAAUACAUACUUACAAGACAUUUAUUGCAUAGUCAAACCAUGGAUCCAGAGAAACAAGUCAAUAAGUCAAAUCAAGAUGUGCAUGUGUGGUGAAUGAAUGGUGUAUGGUGAUGAUGGUGAUAACAAUGGUGGAAGUCUAAUUCUACUUUUGCUCUUUUGAGGGGAUACAUACCUUCCUUGCUUUUUGAAACUUUAUGAGGAGAAUGAGAUGCUCUUCUUUUUCUUUUCUCUCAGGUGGGUAUCUUGUACCCCUAAUUCUACUGUCGGACACUUGUCCAUUUUUACCUCUCGUCUCACUCUUUUUCUUUUCUUUCGAGGUUCUGGGCACUUGCCCCUUUUUAUGUCCUCGUAUAUUUUUUCUCUCCUCUUUUUUUUAGAGCACUCAUCUCAUGAGAUAAUACAGCAAGUGGUAGUAACAAGAUAACUUGAGCAUUUAUUUCACAAGGAAAAACAGAAAUAUUUUUGGUUAUUCUCUCCCGGAUUAGGAGUAGAAUAUUUUUGGGUGGUUCUGGAGAUGGACAUGGAUGGAUAUAUGUGGAUGGUACUCCCGGAGUAGAAGUAGCAUAUAUGAGUGAACGUGCAAGUGAAUCUUGAUUUAACCACAUGACAAGCUCCUAAGGGUCUACAUAGCUUGACCAUACUCAAUGCUCAUAAGCAGUAAAAAGUAAAUGUGUGGCUCAAAGUCUAGCAAGCAUGUAUAUAUGGCUGUGGUAGGAAUUUAAAUUUUCAUCAUACAGGAACUCAUCAUGCAAUAUUUUAAAGAUUUUUCAAAGAUAAAAUUCUCUAUAAUUCUAGCAUCUCUAGGAACAGAUAAACAACAGCUCAACCUUCCCAUAUCAUAUCCGUUAACAACAUAGAUUUCAGAUCAAGUUUUCAUCCCACAAGUUUAGAUCUAGAGCAAGCUUUAAAUUAUAACAGUUAUGUCUAAACUUGAGAGAGAACUUCAAAU